AGUGCGUGUGCUGGGGCGAGCGGGAGCGGGCGAGGAUGGGCACAGGAUAGAGGCAGAGCCACCCACGCCGCCGCGGCCCCACGCUGGGCGACAGAGCCUCCAGUUCCCCUUCAAUGGUGGCGGGUCGCCGGAGCUCUGAUCGCCGGGAACCCUUGCCGCUGCUGUCCUGCGACCCCAAGCAGGUAUAGACACGUGUGGCCGUUUACGCUGUAGGAUCCUCAUUCCCACUGGCUUUGAACAUUUUGGGGACUUACAAUGCCGCCACCCGCGGACAUCGUCAAGGUGGCCAUAGAAUGGCCGGGCGCCUACCCCAAACUCAUGGAAAUUGAUCAGAAAAAACCACUGUCUGCAAUAAUAAAGGAAGUCUGUGAUGGGUGGUCUCUUGCCAACCAUGAAUAUUUUGCACUCCAGCAUGCCGAUAGUUCAAACUUCUAUAUCACAGAAAAGAACCGCAAUGAGAUAAAAAAUGGCACUAUCCUUCGAUUAACCACAUCUCCAGUAAGUUGAUCUUAGCUUCUGACUUCCAGCAAACUCUUUGCUCUGCGUUUCUGCUAUAUGUGAUUGUGGGAUAUUAAUUUUUGAGGUUGACUUUAGUGCAAAGCAAAAGGCUUCCAGAAUGUCCUGACAUGCAGAUUCUGGAUUAGCAGGAAUGCCCCUCCGUAGAUUUCCCACUGCAGAGGAGGAAGACCUUAUUCCAGGCGAAGGGCAAGCUUGUCUAACCUGCGGCCCAGGAUAGCUUUGAAUUCACAAAUUCGUAAACUUUCUCAAAACAUUAUGAGUUGUUCUGUAUUUUAUUUAGUUCAUCAGCUAUCGUUAGCGUAUUUUAUGUGUGGCCCAAGACAUUCUUCUUCUUCCUGUGGCCCAGGGAAGCCAAAAGAUUGGACACUUCUGCUUUAAGAUUUGAGUUUGGAGGUCAUCUUAACAACUUCUGUGUUACAGCUGGGAUCACUCACCUGUACCAAUUGGUUUUACCCACCUACUCACACAUCCACCUAAUGCCAUCUGAGCAAAUUCAGACAACAAACAAAGCAAACAAAACCAAAGUCAGUUACUUUCCUUUAAAGUCGGUUACUUUCCUUUAAAGUCAGUGUGGCUGGGCGCGGUGGCUCAUGCCUGUAAUCCCAGCACUUUGGGAGGCCGAGGCAGGUGGAUCAGGAGGUCAGGAGAUCAAGACCAUCUUGGCUAACACAGUGAAACCCUGUCUCUACUAAAAAUACAAAAAAUUAGCCGGGCGUGGUGGUGGACGCCUGUAGUCCCAGCUACUCGGGAGGCUAAGGCAGGAGAAUGGCGUGAAACCUAAUAGGUGGAGCUUGCAGUGAGCAGAGGUAGUGCCACUGCACUCCAGCCUGGGUGAGAGAGUGAGACUCCAUCUCAAAAAAAAAAAGAAAAAAAAGAAAAAGUCAGUGUGUGUGUGUGUGUGUGUGUCUGUGUGUGUGUGUGUGUGUGUGAGAGAGAGAGAGAGUUUAAGUAUUUUGUAGCUUUAAUGGGUUAUUAUGACAAUUCAUAAAAAUAAUUUAGAAAUAUUGACCACUUCACUGAUCCAUUGACAGCUGAUUCUACAUAAGAACUUUAGAGUCUUCUGAAUUAAAGCUGCUAAACAAGACGCUACAGUAUAUUUAGACUAUUGUAGCUGAUGAUGUCUCUCUUCUUGGUCUUUCCUACUUGCUUGGAGAUACUUUAGGUAGUAACAUUAGCAUAUUUAACUAUAUUAUUUUACAGUGCAUUUCAUUGCUUUCCUAAAAAAUUAUCUGCCCCAAAUACACCAAGUGUUACUAUUUUCACUCUGCAUAUGUGAUGAAAACUGUGUCUAACUAUCAUUUUCAGUUUCCACUGAAGCCAUGUGGUAGACUAAAAAUAAAUUUAAAAAUUGGGAAAAGCAUCUGGCUAAAAUUAAGCUGUGGGUACUGUAACUACCAUAAAUCCUUAUUGUUGAAAAUUACAUUAGUGUGGCUUAGAAACUCCUAAACAUUUUGCCCAAUAACAUCCUGAACCUAAAAACAGUGAUGAGCUCAAUGGAGUGAGUUGCUACAGUUGGCUGAACUGUCUUUGAUGCCUGCUUUGCUACUUAAUGGAGAUUAUAAUCUACUCAUUUUUCAGUGGCUACAUGAUGAGCUGAGGCGUUUUCGUCUGACUUUGCAUUGGUCUUCUUACUCAAGUCAGCAUGAAUGAAUGUUAAUUUGACCUUUACACCAUUGUUUUAUGUGUUUUUUGUAGUUUCUGAUUAUCCUGCUAAAAGUCAUCAUCUGCUUGCUGGACAGAAAAAGUAGACCUUGCCUUUUAUUUCAUUUUAGAGUCUAAAAGACAGCUUUUUAAUCAAAGCCUUCUCUAAGCCAAAGAAGGAGUUAGUUUCAUUUUUUUACUGCUGUGGAUUUAUGAACAAAAAUUCCGCAAUCUAAGUCACUCCUUGAGAGAAGGCUUAGAUGUUAGGCAGAGUGAAGUUUUUCAGCAUCCCAAAAGAAACUUAGCGUGACUUGUCAUCAGGAAGAAUGGAAUUUGUGUUCUUGAGAUAAUGAUCCUCACAUUCCCAGCUCAGUGAAUGGAAAGAUGUGAAAGCCAGUGUAAGAGGCACUAUUAAAAGAUGGGAGCAGCCGGGUGCAGUGGCUCACGCCUGUAAUCCCAGCACUUUGGGAGGCCGAGGCAGGCGGAUCACCAGGUCAGGAGAUCAAGACCAUCCUGGCUAACACGGUGUAAACCCCGUCUCUACUAAAAAUACAAAAAAAAUUAGCCAGGCGUGGUGGCAGGCGCCUGUAGUCCCAGCUACUCGGGAGGCUGACGCAGGAGAAUGGCGUGAACCCAGGAGGUGGAGCUUACAGUGAGCAGAGAUGACGCCACUGCACUCCAGCCUGGGCAACAGAGUGAGACUAUGUCUCUGUCUC
rnacentral:lncRNA from 1 species